ensembl:snoRNA small nucleolar RNA, H/ACA box 1
AGCCUCAUACUAUUGAAAAUGGGCACUGUUGUUCAUGGUGUCCGUAAAUUGUUAAUGUGGCUACAUUGAGAACACAGGUUUUGCUUCCAUCACUGUAAUUUUAUUGCAGUGGUGACAAUGAGACCUGCAACAUUU